AUUAAAGUAAGUUAAAUAAAACUAUUGAGUUGUGAUCUCAGACAUAUCCCAGAUCUUUAUUA
rnacentral:tRNA from 1 species